GUAGAAACUUACAUGAUGAGAGGAUGCUGGGAAAGAUUAACCUUGGCUUUGGAAAACCUUCGCCAGGGCACAGCUGUGCCUGGGGGAAACAUCCCUUUCCUCACCCCAGAGAGGAGGUCCGCACUCCGAGGAGGAGGGCUGGAGGAAACAUCAGCCCAGGUCCUCUCGUCAGCCCUGUGAGAUGAGAGAAUUGAGACCCACAAGACGGGCAGACCCUGGAGCAACAUCUCCCAGCCAGCAAGUGAACUAGCAUGCCGGUCUUCUGAGUCUUGGUCCCAAACUGUCUCCAAAGUGUCGCCCAGUCUCCUGCUUUGUGGAA